rnacentral:rRNA from 1 species
AUUGAACGCUGGCGGCAGGCUUAACACAUACAAGUCGAGCGGGGUGAUGGUGCUUGCACUAUCACUUAGCGGCGGACGGGUGAGUAAUGCUUAGGAAUCUGCCUAUUAGUGGGGGACAACAUCUCGAAAGGGAUGCUAAUACCGCAUACGUCCUACGGGAGAAAGCAGGGGAUCACUUGUGACCUUGCGCUAAUAGAUGAGCCUAAGUCGGAUUAGCUAGUUGGUGGGGUAAAGGCCUACCAAGGCGACGAUCUGUAGCGGGUCUGAGAGGAUGAUCCGCCACACUGGGACUGAGACACGGCCCAGACUCCUACGGGAGGCAGCAGUGGGGAAUAUUGGACAAUGGGGGGAACCCUGAUCCAGCCAUGCCGCGUGUGUGAAAAAGGCCUUAUGGUUGUAAAGCACUUUAAGCGAGGAGGAGGCUCUUUUGGUUAAUACCCAAGAUGAGUGGACGUUACUCGCAGAAUAAGCACCGGCUAACUCUGUGCCAGCAGCCGCGGUAA